GGAGGUAUAGCUCAGUUGGGAGAGCAACAGACUGCAUCGUUAAAUAGUCUCUUCUGGAGGUCCCCAGUUCAAUCUUGGGUAGCUCCA